UACGUAGGCGGAAUAAUAAGUCAGUGGUGAAAUCCUGCGGCGCAACCGUAGAACUGCCAUUGAAACUGUUAUUCUUGAAUGUAGUUGAGGUAGGCGGAAUGUGUAAUGUAGCGGUGAAAUGCUUAGAUAUUACACAGAACACCGAUUGCGAAGGCAGCUUACUAAACUAUGAUUGACGCUGAUGUACGAAAGCGUGGGGAGCGAACAGGAUUAGAUACCCUGGUAGUCC
rnacentral:rRNA from 1 species